CUUUAACAAACCCAGCUGGGACUGGAAAGGGGCCGGGACAGCCCACCCCCGGCGCGCGCCCAUAGGCCGGCUGUGAGCCCCGCCUCGUGCCGAUUGGUUGUAAAUGGCUACUGAGUUAUUUCAUUGGCGCCCCCACGCACCGGUUGGCGCAGGUUCCUGAGACCCGCCUCUCCUCGGAUUCAGAAUUCCCAGCUUAACAGGGAGCCGCAGACAGGAAGAAUGGAGGCUGCUGUUCUCAGUCUGGUUUCUGUGCCACUGCCACUGCCGCCACCACCACCACCACCACCACCAUCACCACCUCAGCACAGCUCCAGGGUGGGAGCCACCCUGAGGGGAGGACCAGGAGAAAAAAGAGAAAAAAAGAAAAAAGCAAAAUCUAUGUGAAUCUGUAUUGAUAUAAUUAAAUGAUUACGUAAAUAAAUAAAUGGAGGUGAAGAGACAAAUCUUUCUUUUUUUAAAG